CCUACGGGAGGCAGCAGUGGGGAAUAUUGCACAAUGGGCGAAAGCCUGAUGCAGCAACGCCGCGUGAGCGAUGAAGGCCUUCGGGUCGUAAAGCUCUGUCCUCAAGGAAGAUAAUGACGGUACUUGAGGAGGAAGCCCCGGCUAACUACGUGCCAGCAGCCGCGGUAAUACGUAGGGGGCUAGCGUUAUCCGGAUUUACUGGGCGUAAAGGGUGCGUAGGCGGUCUUUUAAGUCAGGAGUGAAAGGCUACGGCUCAACCGUAGUAAGCUCUUGAAACUGGAGGACUUGAGUGCAGGAGAGGAGAGUGGAAUUCCUAGUGUAGCGGUGAAAUGCGUAGAUAUUAGGAGGAACACCAGUAGCGAAGGCGGCUCUCUGGACUGUAACUGACGCUGAGGCACGAAAGCGUGGGGAGCAAACAGGAUUAGAUACCCGAGUAGUC
rnacentral:rRNA from 1 species